AGGAAAGGGCCCUGACAAGAGGAUGGGACUGCAGUUGUGGCUGCCAGGUUGGAGUGCAGUGGCACGAUCUCGGCUCAGUGCAACCUCCGCCUCCUGAGUUCAAGUGAUUCUCCUGCCUCAGCCUCCCUAGUAGCUGGGAUUACAGGGUCUCACUCUGCUCACUCUGUCUCCCAAGCUGGAGUGCAGUGGUACAGUCACGGCUCACUGCAGCCUCCACUUCCUGGACUCAAGUGAUCUUCUCACUUCAGCCUUCUGAGUAGCUGGGACUACAGCCCCCUCUGCAGCUCUUCAUGGGGGUCCACUCAAGUCAGAAGCCACAUUUGGGUGUGAUUCAGAGAGCUGUUUAUGCAAAACCAGCUUUGUCACCAUCAGGCAAGGCACCUGAAUUCCCACCGCAGAGAGUGUUGUGGCCGUGAGGACUUUUCUGUCACCAGCCAUUUCCAGGUAGACCCAGUGUAAUCACAAGCAUCCUUGUAAGUGGCAAAGAGGCAGAGGAGACAGCGCCAGAGAGGCAGCUGCAUGAGAAGGAUCAAGAUGUUGCUGACUUUGAAGUUGGAAGAAGAAGGCCAUGAGCCUCAGUAUGUGGGCGGCUUCUAGAAGCUGGAAGGGGCAAGGAGAUGGAUUUGACCCUUCAGCCUCCAGGGGCAGCUGUACCUGCCAUCACUGAUUGUAGCCUGGUGAGGCCUGUUUUAGACUUCUGACCUGUAGAGCUGUAACAUAAUACAUUUGGGUUGUUUUCAACCACUAAGUUUGUGGUAAUUUGUUGUAGCAGCUGUAGAAAAUGAAUACAUAUGAAUCCUCUGGCAUUUGUUUGAGAUUUGCUCUAUGGCCUAGUAUGUGGUUGUAAAUGUUCCAUCUGUGCCUGAAAAAAUGUAUAUUUCUAAUUCAGUAGUCUCUGCUUUUUUUUUUUAUUUUGUACCCCAUCAAUAAAAUGAUUUUCAGCAUGUAUCCCCAAAUAAACAAUAUUUUAUUUAUUGAUUGAUUGAUAAACAGACAUGUUUAAUGAUAGCUUGCUUUUCACAGAGGUGACUUCGGAGACUUCUAAUCUAUAAUCCAGGAGUAUAUAACCAUGCAGCACAGACCAAUUAGUCACAUGUAAAAUAAACUAGAUUCUUACCAC
rnacentral:lncRNA from 1 species